GGGGAAUAUUGGGCAAUGGACGCAAGUCUGACCCAGCAACGCCGCGUGAAGGAAGAAGGCUUUCGGGUUGUAAACUUCUUUUAAGGGGGAAGAGUAGAAGACGGUACCCCUUGAAUAAGCCACGGCUAACUACGUGCCAGCAGCCGCGGUAAUACGUAGGUGGCAAGCGUUGUCCGGAUUUACUGGGUGUAAAGGGCGUGUAGCCGGGAAGGUAAGUCAGAUGUGAAAUCUGGGGGCUCAACCUCCAAACUGCAUUUGAAACUACUUUUCUUGAGUAUCGGCGAGGUAAUCGGACUUCCUUGUGUCGCGGUGAAAUGCGUAGCUCUCAGGAAGAACACCAGUGGCGACGGCGGAUUACUGGACGACCACUGACGGUGCGGCGCGCAAGCGUGGGGAGCAAACC
rnacentral:rRNA from 1 species